UGGGGAAUAUUGCACAAUGGGCGCAAGCCUGAUGCAGCCAUGCCGCGUGUGUGAAGAAGGCCUUCGGGUUGUAAAGCACUUUCAGCGGGGAGGAAGGCGAUAAGGCUAAUAACCUUGUCGAUUGACGUUACCCGCAGAAGAAGCACCGGCUAACUCCGUGCCAGCAGCCGCGGUGAUACGCAGGGUGCAAGCGUUAAGCGGAAUUACUGGGCGUAAAGCGCACGCAGGCGGUCUGUCAAGUCGGAUGUGAAAUCCCCGGGCUCAAACUGGGAACUGCAUUCGGAACUGGCAGGCUAGAGUCUUGUAGAGGGGGGUAGAAAUCCAGGUGUAGCGGUGAAAUGCGUAGAGAUCUGGAGGAAUACCGGGGGCGAAGGCGGCCCCCUGGGCAAAGACUGACGCUCAGGUGCGGAAGCGUGGGGAGCAAACAGG
rnacentral:rRNA from 1 species